UAAAUUUUACUUGAUUAUAUAAAAUAAUUUUAAAACCCUUUUUACCAAAAUUGUAAAACGAAAAAUUGAUUUGUUUUUGAAAAAUUAAAUUUUGUGGUGAAAUAAAGUCAUGAAACGGUACAUAUUAUAAUUGAUGUUUUUUAAGAUUACAUUUUAAUCCAAUGCAAAACGGGUUAGUAUGGUAUUUAAGGAUUUUCGGUCCUCGAGUAGGGGUUAGUCUCUUGCAAAACAGAAAAAAAUGUGUGUUUUCCGAAGGUUCUCCAAAGCUCAAGUCAGAAAACAGCUCAAAAAGACCACUAAGCGGCUAAUCGGAAAGCAGAAAGAAGUCAGAAAACAAAUGGAGGAAAGCGGGCCGAGAGUUCUUGAGAAUGGUAGAAUCUGCUCAUGCCUUUUAACGAGAGUGGACUUUUUUGGUGAAAAGAAAGGAAAAAAAGAAUUCGAAGGUAGAAAUGCUCCACGUUUUAGGAAUCACCAUGGAGGAGAAGUGAAAUGAAAUGACCGGAAAGUUGGCCGGGAAAGUGUAGAACGUCUGGACUUAAGAACCAACAAUAUCUGGAAAAAUAUCGUGAGACUUAAGAUGACUGAGAAAGUGAACCCCUUCGCGGGUUAGCAAAGCUAACCCGUGAUGUAGAAGUUAUUUUUGCCGGAAACAAACGUUUACCCCUCUCAUUAGCCGUACGUGGCAGGGCAUCCGCCUGAAGCGCAUAACGUUUUUUGAUGAAAGACGUGUUGCCUGAGUCACCCUUUGACCUGAGGCGCGUGAAGCAUUUUUGAUGAAAGACGCGAUGCCUGAGUCAUCCGCCGUGGGCAGCAUGGCCUGGGUCCGUGAGCCCAAACGAAGGACGUGUUGUCUGAGUGAGACACCGUGGGUGAUAUGACCUGGAACCGUGGGUCACAAAGGAUGCGAUGCCUGAGUCACCUGCUAUGGGCGAAGUGACGUGGAGACGUGGGCUCGUAACAUGAAGACACAGUUCCUACAGGGGAUGUCGCCCGGCUAGCCCAGUUACCCUUCAGUCGAUCCCUUAGAGAUAUCCAGUUAUCUAAAAGAGAUUCGUCCACCACGAAAGUAUAUUGAACUGACAGGCCAAUCGGCAAAGGGAGCCAGACCUACGCUGUGGGAUGCGAACCCGACAAGGUUCCAAAUGGACAAUCAUACAGUUCGCAGAGCGGCAUGCCUCCGGGUGGCACGAUUAAAGGGUGUCAUUCCUAGGACACGGCAUCAAUGGACAGGCUAACCCUCCACUAUGCUGGCCUUGUCGGGGUAAACACCCGAAUAACAUAACCAAGAUUCUUCAGGAAAAUCAGAGAGGCACAUUUGGUGGCGAGAUAACCGCGUGGGAGAAUUCCUUCUUUUAUUUCUGUGAUUCAUUCUCCUCCAUUAUUUUUCUUCCUAUUUAUGUUUAUUUCCUUUCUCUAGACAGAUGUUACUUCUUGCAUUCAACCUUCUGUGCGUGAUAGGGCACCCACUGGUUGUCGCUUCACUAUCCAUUCUACGUCUUUUUUCUGCAUCGCAACCGUCCAUAUUCGUUCGUUGCUUCGACAUGUGUACUUCGACCUUAUAAAGUUAUCAUCAAACUCCUUGGGGAACUCUCUCUCUUUGCUGUUUUACCUUUCUUCCUAAGGGGAUCCUUGACUCUCUUAAGCCCACCUUCUCUCUUGGGUGUCCACGUGGCCUCUUACAGUUGGCUGUCUUUUUAACUUUCACUACGACGGUUAUCCAUAUAAGCGGCGUAUUCCUCUAUUUCCUAUUUAUCCUAUUCUAACAUCUUCGCAUUCGCCUCCUCUUCUCUCUCAUGUUUCUCCGUUUCUCCAUCCUUUUUUUAGCUAACAUGUCUUCUCCCAAUGAUUCUUGUAACGGCGGCCCCUCCCUCUAAUCACAGUAUUUCGAGAUGUUUAUUAUGCAUGUCGGGCCAGAGCUUGCCCCUGGACCUGAGUCUACCCCUGCAGACCCGCCGAGGGGGUAUAUAACCGUUUUCUUGCCUUUCACCACUGUUGGUUUCCGGCAGAACCUGUUCUUGGCUUAUGGUCGAUGUCUGCCAACUGUUAGCCCUCGCCUCCAGUCAACUAGAGUUGCAGACGUGGGGUUUAAUCCACACCUUACAAGUCCUCUACGAUCUCUUCGAGAUAGCCAUUACCGGAGAAAUGGUACUGAAUGCCAUUCGUGCCUCUCGCUGGGGCUACGACUCCUGCCGGUUUGACCUGGUUUCUCAAGAAUGCCGUCAUUCUCCAAUCGAACCCCCCAAUUUGCAGGAGUCGUUCGGUCUGACUGGACUCCUUCUGGUGAGCAUUUUCGAUCUUCACCCCCCCCAUUUCAAUAUUGUUUACUAUUUUCUUACCUUUUUUUAUUGUUCCGCCUUCUCUAGGUUCUUUUCCCGAAACACGCGAUCUCGUCGCCCCGUACCCUGAGGCUCUCUUCGAUUUAGACGAGGAGUUAAAGGGAUUCGGCUUUUCUGCUAAACCCCGUGUGGUGGAUGACACUUUGAUCAACUCCUGCCUCGAGUCUCCUUUUGUUCCUCUUGAGUCAUUGGAUGCCUUGUUGGCGGCUUGCGUUAAGUACAAUGGUCUCCACGUCGCUCUCCUUGACCUUUUCAUCUAUUUUACGUUCUCGUUGUCGUUGUCUCCUUUUGUGGAACUUUUGUAUUUGCUAUCUAGAACUUUUCUUUACGCUUAUCUAUUUAGAUCAGCACGUUCCUACUGCCCCUUUCUCCUUUCCUUUUCGUAUAGAUAUAUUUUUUUAUUUGUCGUAUCGAUUUGGAUCCUUGAGCAUAACCGGAUUUUCGUCGAACUGAUUUGCCGCAAUCUCAGAUCCCUUCUUUUUAUGUGCGGUUUCCGUUCCGAGAGGGGGGGGGGAUUCUUCGGAUCGCCAGAUGUUUCGGUCUUGUUUGUUUUUCUCUUUGAGCUCGUCGCCUGUUGCUAGUAUUGGGUCAUCGCGUGGAUCCCGCUUUUCUUUCAUCUCUGGGUCAUUUCCCCCAAUUCUGGGUCUUAUGGUGGUUUUCUGACUUAGGAAAGGGAAGUUUGUUUUGCUUCGAGAGUGUUGCCCCCCUCUCUCUAGCGCCAAACGGUUUAGGAGAUUUUUGGUCUUUGAGUAGGGGCAAGUCUCCUGCGAAACAGAAAAAACAUGAAGACCUGGAAAACACGAUGAGGGUGUGUCUUCUGAAGGCUCUCCGAUGCUCAAGUCAGAAAACAGCUAAAAAAAUCACUAAGCGGCUAAUCGGAAAGCAGAAAGAAGUCAGAAAACAAAUGAAGGAAAGUAGGUCGAGAAUCCUUGACAAUGGUCGGAUCCACUCAGGUCUUUUAAUGAGAGUGGGAUUUUUUGGUGGAAAGAGAGGAAAAGAAGAAUUUUAAGGUAGAAAUGCUCCACGGUUUAGGAACCGCCAUAGAAAAGAAAUGAAAUGAAAUGAACGAAAAAUUGGUCGGGAAAGUGUAGAACACCUGGACUUAAGAACCACAAGUAUCUAGAAAGAUAUUGUGAGGUUUAAGAUGUCUGAGAAAGUGAACCCCUUUCCUGUAGGAAAAGGUAAAGUAUUUAUAAGAAGUUACUUGACCUGGGUUAAUAUACCGGGUCGAUCCAUGGAUGACGAAUUGGAUGGAUCGACCCAUGACCCGACUUGACUAUGUUCGAAUCUUGUGAUGGCGUCACGCUUCUCAUGACCUCACCAACUUUCUUUGGCAUGUUCUGCCUGCAACUUGACCGUCCGUUGGCAGGUUCCUUUUGUUCUCAGUGUAUGAGUUGGGUCGGCGGCUCAGACACAAUAUGGCUCUUUGCUGAACCUUUGCUUUUCCUCCUAGCUCUUGCGAAAACUCACUAACACCUGAAAAACGCAUUAAAUACCAAUCUCGUCGGUUUAUAAGGGUAUGGGUAAUCAAAUCAAACUGAAACAUAUUCUCUUUGUUGAAUAGAGAGAAUUUUGUAUAGCGUUCCUGCCCAAGUUGUUCAUUCAUACUUGGCCUGGAUCCCUCGAUACUGGGACCAUAUUGGGACCGGGCUACCGCAGAUGGAUGACCUCGCCCUCCGGAUACCUGUGUGGGCGACUCUUCCUUAUAUCCUGACCCUUCCGGAUCACCGAGCUUAGAUCUAGGACAUAGAGAAUGUGACCUUUUCUCCUCUUGACCACUCAGUUUUCGAGUUCCUUGUUCCUGACAGUGUGACAUACGCUGUCAAAUACGAAGAGUCCAGGAACAGGUGGCCUAUCGUGCUGGAUCUCCCGAAUCCGAAUGGAUUCGAGACCCGAUGCUAUAAGCUUAGGCCGCAUUGGACCCGAUGCCCAAUACGUAUCCUCAUUUGGCUCGGACAG